CAAACAAAGUUUUAAGAAACCAGGAUCUGAGGUUUCAUUCCUCAGUCUGAGCAGUGACUCACCCACAUUCCUGACUGCUCCAACAAGAGGCGAGCCCUGCUCCUGGCAGACCUGAUCCUCUGCAUUGCAUUGUGCCAAGCAAAGUCCAGCAGCGGCAGCACAUCGGAGCUGGUGCAGAACGGGGCCAAACCAGUGUUGGCCAAACUCCUACCAAGGUCGUCUAAGAACGCUCAGAGGCAGCAGCUGAAGUUUUUCACAAUUCAAGGCAGCAGAGACAAGUACAAAACUAACUGAGCAGAGGGAGCCGGGCAGCACACAGGAGGCAGACCUCACCGAUGUAGGGAGAAUCCUUGACAAUACAGGCAGCUAACAGGAACACACAGAGCUGUGCUACCCGUGGAAAGAUCCAGCCUCACACAAAUAAAUGAUCCCUGAGCCACCACAAUGCCUGUUGCACUCUCCUGGCAUCAGCAGGCAGAUGAAGCAUGUAAAGGCAG
ensembl:lncRNA